AGAAUCAACGCUGGCGGCGCGCCUAACACAUGCAAGUCGAACGAGAAAGCCGGAGCAAUCUGGCAAGUACAGUGGCGUACGGGUGAGUAACACGUGGAUGAUCUACCUUUUAGUGAGGAAUAACCAAGGGAAACCGUGGCUAAUACCGCAUGAGCUCGAGAGAGGAAAGUCGAAAGACGCUGAAAGAGGAGUCCGCGGCCGAUUAGCUAGUUGGUAGGGUAAAAGCCUACCAAGGCAAAGAUCGGUAGCCGGCCUGAGAGGGGCACGACGGACCGACGACCUGGCACUGAAACACGGGCCAGACUCCUACGGGAGGCAGCAGUGGGGAAUCUUGCACAAUGGGGGAAACCCUGAUGCAGCGACGCCGCGUGAGCGAUGAAGCCCUUCGGGGUGUAAAGCUCUUUCGGCAGGGAAGAUAGUGACGGUACCGAGAGAAGAAGCCCCGGCUAACGUUCGUGCCAGCAGCCGC
rnacentral:rRNA from 1 species